rnacentral:rRNA from 1 species
CCCAAGGGAAACCGAGUCUGAAUAGGGCGAAUUUGUCGUAUGCUGCAGACGCGAAACCUGUGUGAUCUACCCAUGAGCAGGUUGAAGCGCGGGUUAAACUGCGUGGAGGACCGAACCCACUUAGGUUGAAAACUGAGGGGAUGACUUGUGGGGAGGACUGAAAGUGUAAUCAAACCAGGAGAUAGCUCGUUCUCUCCGAAAUAUCUUGAGGGAUAGCGUCGAGUAAAUUAGUUACCGGGGGUAGAGAUACUGAAUCGGAUGGGGGCCCUUCCCAGGGUACCCCACCGAACCAAACUCCGAAUACCGGUUAACCUUACCUCGGCAGUCAGUCCCUGGGGGAUAAGCUCCAGGGUCGAGAGGGAAACAACCCAGAUCGCCUGCUAAGGUCCCGAAGGACCACUUAGUCACUAAGGAAGUUGAAGUGCCGUGACAGCUGGGAUGUUGGCUUAGAAGCAGCCACCAUUUAAAAAGUGCGUAACAGCUUACCAGUCGAGCAUUUCUGCGCCGAUAAUGAACGGGAGUAAGUGGUACACCGAAGCAGCGGGCUCUAGUUUACUAGAGCGGUAGGAGAGCGCCGAUGAUCAGAUACGAGCCGUACGGUAACGAGCGGUGUCGGGGUCAUCGGGUGAUUAUGCCGGAAUGAGUAACGAUAAAACAGGUGAGAAUCCUGUUCGCCGAAAGCCUAAGGUUUCCUGGGGAAGGCAAUUCCGCCCAGGGUUAGCCGGUACCUUAGUCGAGGCCGAAAGGCGUAGACGAUGGAUAGCAGGUCAACAUUCCUGCGCCGGUUGUGUAUUCGAUGUGGGGACGGCGUCCAGAAAGUGAGCGGUACGAAUAGAAAUGUCCGUAGCGAAAGCUGAGAUAUCCGGGGUUAAAAUACCGGUGUUCGUCAAGGCUGAGCUCGAGAGCGUUUAAGUUCUUGAAGUCAUUGGAAGGACGUCCAAGAAAAGCCACUAGGUUAAGCAACUGACCGUACUAAAACUGACACAGGUAGGUGAGAAGAGAAUUCUAAGGCGCUCGGGAGAACGGUGGUUAAGGAACUCUGCAAAAUGGCCCCGUAAGUUCGCGAUAAGGGGCGCCCUCUUUGGUUUACGCUGAAGGGGGCCACAGAAAAUCGGCUCUAACGACUGUUUAUCAAAAACACAGGUCUCUGCUAACACGCAAGUGGAUGUAUAGAGACUGACGCCUGCCCGGUGCUGGUAGGUUAAGGAAGACGGUUAGCCUCACGGCGAAGCUGGCGACCGAAGCCCCAGUAAACGGCGGCCCUAACUAUGAGGGUCCUAAGGUAGCGAAGUUCCUUGUCGGGUAAGUUCCGACCUGCAUGAAAGGCGUAACGAUUUGAGCACUGUCUCAACCACCGACCCGGUGAAAUUGUAGUUGUGGUGAAGAUGCCACAUACCCGCGGUUAGACGGAAAGACCCCGUGAACCUUUACUGUAGGCUGAUAUUGGGUUGAGAUAUGUCUUGUGUAGGAUAGCUGGGAGGCUUUGAACAGAUGGCGCUAGCCAUUUGGGAGCCGUUGUUGAAAUACCAGCCUGGUCAUAUUUUAAUUCUAACUUUGAUCCCCUGAAUCGGGGCAAAGGACAGUGUCAGUCGGGCAGUUUGACUGGGGCGGUCUCCUCCCAAAGAGUAACGGAGGAGUACAAAGGUACACUCAGCCUGGUCGGCAAUCAGGCGUAGAGCGUAAAGGUAGAAGUGUGCUUGACUGCGAGACUCAUAAGUCGAGCAGGAACGAAAGUUGGUCUUAGUGAUCCGGUAAUCCCGAAUGGAAGGGUUAUCGCUCAUCAGAUAAAAGGUACUCCGGGGAUAACAGGCUUAUCGCAUCCGAGCGUCCACAGCGGCGAUGCGGUUUGGCACCUCGAUGUCGGCUCAUCACAUCCUGGGGGUGUAGAAGCUCCCAAGGGUUUGGCUGUUCGCCAAUGAAAGUGGUACGUGAGCUGGGUUCAGACCGUCGUGAGACAGGUCGGUCCCUAUCUGCCGUGGGCGUUCGAAUCUUGAGGGGAUUCAACUUUAGUACGAGAGGAUUUAGUUGGACAUAGCUCUGGUGUACCAGUUGUCGCGCUAGCGGCACGGCUGGAUAGCUAACUAUGGAACGGAUAAACGCUGAAAGCAUCUAAGCGUGAAGCCCAACCCGAGAUUAGGAUUCGUAUGUCAUUUGACGAAAGCCCCCUGGAAGACGACCAGGUUGAUAGGCUGGGCGUGUAAGCACGGUAACGUGUUAAGCUAACCAGUACUAAUGGGCGAAUGAUUGGUCAUC